rnacentral:lncRNA from 1 species
CGGACUCUGGGCUAUUUUUGCUAAUUUUUCUAAACAAGGCGUGUCUCGCUUCAAUAAAGCCCUCGCCUCGCGCCUAGGCCCCAAGAGAGCUUUGGUGCCUUGGUGCACCUAUUGCCUUUAACAACUAUAUUAUGAAUCUAAUAUUGAGAAAGUAGAGCAGGGACAAUCGGCAAAAAUCAUUAAAACUAUUUCAAAUUGGCUUGAGAACUAUACUGACUCAAACUUGGACACAUCAACCGACCUGACAUUCUGGAUGACUGUUUGAGAACCAAAUCAGUUGAACAAACUGGGUCGAGUUUACUUUAAAUGAGUUUUAGGAAGUCACUUGCCAAAUGUGUUUAGAUUUUUCUCUUUCUGCUAAUGAAAGAAUUGAGGUUAUCCUAUUUUCAAACAGCUGGACACAUUAAUCACUACACUUGCGCAAAAGUGAAAACAUUCAGGGCAGGUUGUGGGUGGAACAAAAACAAUUGACAGAGCAUCUUAAGCUGUGUUGCAAGCAAAACCCUUCGAAGUUAAUAUCACGCCAACAACUUGAGCAGAAAAGGACGAUAACUGUGCACUACAUGAAGUUUUAAUCAACUAACAACAAAAAACAUUAAACAUAUAACUCCAGGAAUUUGUACACAUUCACUAAACAUAAUGUAGAUAAUAUGUCUAACCUUCUAUGUCCUCGUCAUCAAGCGGGGCAUCUUUGUCAAACUCAAACUGUUCCCAUCCUGACGCCGAACCUUUCGUUGCAUCCUUUUCAGCUACAGGUAAACAACAAUAAGAGUUUAACGGUUCAUCAUUGAGAAAAAAAAUUCAAAAAUGUUAGGGAGCUAACAAGUUCCUUCACGUAAGCAUCACUUUCAUGUAUUUACAAAUAUCUUUUAGACGCACUUAGAAACUUCCAGAAAUGAUCACACUAUAAUAGCUCAUACCAGCUGAUCUAUGACUGUUUCUUUUUCAUCAAAUUCAACUUGGUCAAUCAUUCCCAAAUACAUAUUGUUACUGACAUAAAAUAUUUCCAGCAGUCGAGCUAACUGAUGCCUUUGAGUUGAAGCAAAGAAUUGGUGCAUUGUCUCUAAUACAAAUCCCUCUCUAACCAGAGAGUUCAACCCAAAAAAUUCUCAACUAUUCAAGCAGAUUGGAAGAUUUAAAAUAUUGAAGCCAAAUACUAGUAGUUUAACAAAAAAAAACAUACAUGCCAAAUGAUGAUCUAACAAGUUAACAACAGAAAUGGAUUUUUAUUCCAAUGCUUCAAUACCCUGAAAAAUUCAUCUUUCCACUUCCCUAAGUUCCUGCCACAAUUUAUUAUAGCGCAUAAAUGUGCACAUAACCUUUAAGACAAUCCAAUGAAAAUACGAAAGCCCAUAGUAAGCAACCAACUCUCCUUUGAAAAGGAGAACUUAAGAUCUUCGAACCCAGAUAGCGACAUAGGGAUUCACUAUCCCCAUUGGGCGGGUUGCAGCUUGAGAACAAUUACAUUUCUUACCAUCCCACGGUAAUAAAUAUGCUUGUUUAGCACCCAUAAAAUCAUCAUAAUUUUCAACAAGAAACUACGGAAUUCAUUUCCAGAAUAAAAGGCAGUACCACUAGCUAGACUAUUAUAAAUUUUUUUUGUUUAAUUUAUUGCUUUUACACGUUAACCUAUAUUUUUCCGAACCAAAAAUAAUCAAUAUUGUAAAACAUGAGUCCAGACCAUAAUAGAUGACUGGGUCAUCCAGACUGGGAAUUAAGCCUUCCUACAGUUUGUAGAGACCUGAAACUGUUCUCAGGUUUAAACUUCUUAAUCUAUGUGGACUAAUAGCUGGUUAUUGAACUAUCACAGCAUAGACUGGCAUGGACCCUCCUAAUAGAAACAUACAUUGUGGUCUUUCCUUUCACCUUGCCUUAGACGUUACAAUUCUUUAGAAUUCAUCUCCUAUGCGGAGAGCACUACAAUCUCAAAAUUAUCUCAACAAUAAGUGGCAAUAUGAUUUUCCAAGAGCCAAACAAAAUUUUAAUUUCUGUAGUUGCCUGUUAACUUAAUAUCAGCACUUCAAGUCUCUUGUCAUGUCAUGUUCCUUAAAACUCAGUCUACAACUUGCACAUGUUUAACCCCUUUAUUGAAAAAGCUAUAAACACAAAAGCUUCCGUCCUAUUAUGAAUCCAAUGGGUAAUGACGAAUUUGGAGAAAAGCAGAAUUCAAGCAGCACUCAUGGUGUACCUCGUGGGAUAUAUGUUUCUGGAUUCUGUCUACACUAGUCCUUUUUCACCUUUUCAUUUAGUUUCUGGAACAGGUGGUUGGACUCUAAACUAACCUUUUUGCAUUGCUUUCAACAGUCCAUUCUCAUUACUUGUUUUCAUCUAAAAUCUUCCUCCUUUUUUCAACCCAAAAAAUAAAAAAAUAGUUUCAUCCAUUUUCGGAUAAUUCCUUAUACUGAGGAUGUGUACAUAAACCAAUAAACGUUCUGAUUUUGAAAACAUUGCAAAAGAUCAACCAAAAGUUUUAAGAAAAGAAAUUUUAUAUCGACAGCCUCAACUUCAAAAGGUGUACCAUCCAGCACUCUUAGUCAAAUCGCCAACAGAGAGAUAUAGUCCUAUUUAAAGUGUCUUCUACUUCCACUUAUCACACAGAAAACUAAAAAGAGAAAAGGUCUCACACUGUUAAAUUUUUUAGGGGUUAGAUCUUUGAUAACCUUUACAACAAAACUAACUAAUCAAUUUAUGUCCUGCUUGUGUAUGUAAACGCCAUACACGAAUUUCUCAACAGUUGUGAGGCUCCAUGUAGCAUAACACAUGAAGAUAAAAAAUAAUUCAAUUGGUUAAGAAGUUAAAAAUAAAAGCAAAGAAUUCAAACAACCACUGAAAGAAUGACAAGGAAAAUGCACUAUGGCCUUGAAUUAAUCACCAGCUUCAGAAAGCUGAAGUGUCAUCUUGGCUUUGACUCUUUCAGCUGGUGACUGUUCAAAAAGCAACACAACUUUGCCAUCACAAUUAAUAGCAACAGCAAACAGCAGAGACAGAAACUUAAGAAUAUAGAAAUGGGAAUACAACUAACACAAAAUGGUCUGUGAUACUGCAACCAGCGCAUGGAAGUCUUCAUAGAUGCAGUUAUUACAGGAAACAAGCAUGUGGCUGGAGGACCAUCCAGACUUCUGCUUUCGCUUGUUGCAUUUGGGUGCUCUUCCUUCAUUGUUCAAUAUCCUUUAUAAGAAUAAUAACUCACCGAGAUUGGCAUUUGGACCCUUUGUGGGAUACUUCAACGCUUACAUAUCACUUUCAGGCUGCGGAUUAGGAUUACAAAAUGUCCUGAAUGCUUUUAGAAUCCCAAGACAUCUAAUUGAGAAAAUUAUUCCUCAAUUCGCCUUUACUCAGCUUUUAAUUGGGUGGCAUGAUUGGCUGAGGGUCAUUUAUGUAACUUGGCUUCCGAUUUGACACCGAUUGCUUCGAUUAGACUCCUAUAAGACUUGAUUUGGUCCCUCUCUCUGUGCAAUUGCUCUCUCUACGAGGCUCCGUCGUCGCGACUGCAUCAUUGUUCCUCUCCUUCUUCAGACCAUGCUUAUGGUCAUAUGAGUGUGGAAAUAAUUUAUUCGAGUUGUUAAAUACUUGACGACAUUAUUUGCAAUAGAACGUUGGGUUUUGUUUCGCUUCAGGCUUUAGCUUCUCAUUUGUGCAAUCUCCAAGUUUGAUAGGUUUAGUAGGUAAUAGGUAUGACACUAUUGGUGGAGGGAAAGCUACCGAGGCUACUAAAAGUAUAGGUUAAGGAAGGAGAAAUGUUGGUAAGCGGCUUUGGACUUCCUUGACUUAGUCAUUGGAUCACUUGAUUCCCGUGGCUAAAAAUGCAGCUAUGGAAUGCCCAAAACAAACGAGGGACCAAAAUAGAGGGAAGUACAGAGUGUGCCUCUGAAGGUCUCGACACAAUUAUACCAAAACUUUAAGUUUCACAAAAAAUUACAAGAGUAUCCUACAAAGCACCUAGAUAUCUUGAUGUUAAAAGGUUAUCUAAGAUUCUAACAUCAAAUGCAGGAAAAGAUUCAAGGUCAUGCACAAACUUUGGACUUUUAAGGUUGCACCACUGUGACCUGGAUGUCAUGGGUUCAAAAGACGGAAUCAGCCUUAGCAUGCCUUUGGAAAACCAAUUUUUCGCAUGAACUAAAAAAACCUGCAAAGGAUUUUUAACAUCUUCUUGAAUCUAUUUUCCAAAUAACAUUUUGGACAGCAUUACUCACUUAGGCUUCCACAAAUUAAUUUGGCUAUUGAGCUGUGGAUCUUUUAUUUCAAUCUUCCAUGUAUUAGUUCUAUCAUUCAAGUAGACAUAGCUUAGAGCAUGUUUAAACUAGACUCUAACACUCAGUGAAAAACGAAAACAAUGCAACAGAGCAAUUACAGAUUAUAAACAAACAAGACAAAUAGCAAAAUAACAAUAGAAACUUGAAACCAACAGAAUUCAGAUAAAAGCAUACCAUUUUGUCAAAACCAUCAAUCAACUUGGCAUAAUCAAUCGCGACAUUCUUCUCCUUCCCAACUGUUCCCACACCACUCUUCUCUCUCCUCUGAUCCCAAGGCGACAAACUACGACUUCUUCUCCUAUCCCUUCACCUCCCUCUUUCUCCAUACGAACUACUCCGAGACCUGCUUCUCCUCCUCCUCCUUAUCUCUCUUUCUCUCUCUACAUACCUAUCCUACGAUCGACACCGAUGCCUCGAAAUACGACCCUCUAGGCUCCAACUUCGGCGUCUCGAAACUCUAGAAGACUGUUCAACUUCGGAUGUGUUUGGGGACUUCUUGAGCUUGUUUUGGAUAGAUUCGAGUUGGGAAUUCUUUUCGGACUCGCCGGUUUUGGAGGGGCUUGAAGCCCUAACGAAGCUGCUGAGGAAAGACGAACGCGACGAUGAGGGGAGAGCGGAGCCUCUCGCCGGAGUCACGGUGGAGGAGAAUCCACUGCCUUGCUUGAACCUGGAGGCUGCUUCGCUUUUACGGGUGAGCUCAUCGUGGUAGGCCGCGGCCUUCUCUUCUUCCAUUUGUGAGAGAGAGGGGCACAGAAGGAGAGGCUUUUGGGGGUAUAAUUUCCAAUAUGGUCCCAAAAGUAACUACUUAAAUUAUUUGCGUCCCUAAUCUUAAACCUUUCUCAACUUUCCACCCAUUUUAGUAUUUUAUGGCCUUUCUUCAAUUUGUGUUCAAGCUGUACAACGAGAGAACUUGGUAUGGAUACAAAAUAAAUAAAUAAAAAUAUAGGGGUAUUGUCCAUUUUUAUAUCCGGUUCGAGAAAAUGAAAUAAUACAAAAAGUAAGUGAAAACUUAGUGAUGAUAUAAAUAAAAAUAUAGGGGUAUUAUCCAUUUUUAUAUCCGGUUCGAGAAAAUGAAAUAAUACAAAAAGUAAGUGAAAACUUAGUGAUGAUGAACUUUAAGCUACUUCAAAACCCUCCUCUCACUAUUUUGUUCAUAUCCAUGAUUAAAAUUUGUGACAUUUUCUCUGUAUCGAUGUCCAUGGUAUAAAUUAGGAACAUUUUGACAGAGAUCCCUGCAAAUCCAACUUUUAUUUUAUAGUCGGUGUUAGUUAGUAUUUGCCCCUUAAAUCUAACAUCAUAUCCAAUUCUAGCAUGCUUAAGCUAUGAGAUAAAAGUUUACUAACCAAUUUACCGGCAUUGCCUUGAGUCUCUUCAAAAAGAGGGCAAUAUUCGACCCUUGGUCCAUUAGGUUGUGAUUGGAGAAUAUCCCUAAUUUUAUUCUAUUUAUAUUACAAGUAUUCUAUUAUUUACAAGUAGAAGUGAAAACUGUAUAAAAUAAUAACUAUUUUAGUAACAGUGAAUAAUAUAUCCUCGACAUAAGCAUGUUUAGUCAAACCACGUAAAAAUCGUUGACUCCUCAUGAUGAUGGUUAUUGACUCCAUUUGUAUUUUUAACAUUGAAAAAAAAUCGAUAAUAAUAAAAUUUUAAUAAAAUCUUUAGUUGUAUUUGGUGAGUCUUCGACCAGUGUGGCACAAGAAUUCAAAAUCAAUAAAAUUUUGACUCAAAAUUAAUUUCAUUGUUUGGUUAGUUGGGCAUGGGUUAUAGAGGAAAAAGGAAUAACGAGGACAUAAGUUAUGCAUGCAAAUGAGAUGUGAAGGAAUUGCUCACAUUAAUUAUAUUUUCAUUUAUCAAUAUAUAAAACUGCCAGCAUGCAUGUCGGUUAGUGUGGAGUUUUGAAGUUUUGAGAUUGAUGACUUAACCAUAUUGGUAUGUUGGGUCCGGCAGAAGUAUGGCCGCGCAAGGCCAAGGCUGGUGGUCGGGUUGGCGGUUGUUGCACUGGUCCCCAUCACAACCUUACCCAACCCGUCCACCACAACAUUGCCUCACCUCUCCAACAAAUAACUAUUCGGAAGCAGCUAUCGUCUCAUUCGAUCCAACAACCGAGAUUAUUCAAUCCCAUUUGAUGUGGUAUGGCUUAUGGCACCAUGAGCGUGUGUAUGGUACCAUAUUAUUGUUAUAGAGUAUAGAGGCUGAUCUAUGUUAUAGAGUAAUGGAAAACAAUUUUGAUUUUAUUUUUAUUUCGUAUCCUAUGGAGGUCGUGGCAGUAGGGGAGAAUGGUUGUGCUCUCGUGGAUGUUGAAAAAGGAAGGCAGUAGCGUGGUGGUGUCAAUACUGCUCUGAGUGUGUUUGGCAAUCUGUCAUCAGUGUGUGAACAAGAUUUCAAAGUGAUUCAGGGUGGUUUGGAGGAUAGGGGAAGAAACCUAAAUGACAAAUUGAAAGUGAAAAAAACCCUUUAAGGGCCAAAUUGAAAAGGGGAAAAGGUGUAAAUGUAAUUACCCUUCAAGUUGUGAUGAAACGAUUUGCUAUUGCCACGCCAGUUUUAACUGUUGCCACGGUAGUGCAGCUGCCAGCACAUUACUCUUGACAACAGCCAUGAACUGCUUUGAAGUAAACAAUAACCAUUACCAAACGUGGCCCUUUUUUGUGAAUACCUUCCUAAUACAAAUUUAGACAACCGACUACAAUAAAACAAUUUUGAAAGCAGAACAGGAAUCACAUGAGCAAGUCUAGGCAACAAGGUAACAGAAGGAGCAUUGAAAAUCUGAAAUAUUUCCUAAAUAUAAACAAUUUUGGAAGUUAAAGAGGAAUCACAUGAGCAAGUAUAGGCAACAAGUUAACAGAAGGAGCAUUAAAAUUCAAAAAUAUAAAUAUGACUACGGCUUCUCCGCACGAGCUGACACACUCCAGCAAAGCAUGUACUUCUCGAACUUGAUUAGAGAGUGGUCGAUGGUCAGAAUUAAUAGGUACAAUGAGUGAUUCGAGAGCCUUGAAGCAUGGGCUAAGAGUUCCAAGAACUUAUGAUGGAGGGAGCUUUACCAGUAGCAGUUCAAAGAACUGCUCGUGUUGUUGAGCAGAAGCAAAAGGAGCUCAUUUAGUUGUAAGUGUGAGGCUAGACCGAAAGGGGUUUUUUAGUUCAACUCUGAAGCUAAGCUUAUGGUUAUUAUUCGUAUUCGUGGCAAUGCUAUGGACCCAAAGAAAAGGAAGAUAUUGUAGCUAUUUCAUUUGAGAUAGAUUUUAAGUGAUGUCUUCGUCAAGGUAAACAAAGCAACAUUGACAUGCUGCAUAGGGUUGAGUCUUACACGACUUUUGGGUAUCCUAAUCUGAAGAGCGUGAACCGUGAGGGAACUGAUUUACAAGAGGGGUUAUGGCAAAAUUAAAUGAUCAGCAGAUGAUAUUGACAAACAAUUCAAUCAUCAAGUAGGGUUUGGGGAAGGAUGAAAUUAUCUUCUGCAUUGAGGAUUCUAUUCACUAGAUCAUGCCAGUUGGGCCACAUUUCAAAAUUCUCAGAAACUGGAGAAGUGUGUGCUAAGCAAGAAAAUAUCACAUAUACUGACAGAGAGCGCUAUUUCCUCUUUAUGUGGAACAAUGGCUCAAGGUAUUUAAAUCCAAGCAAAGGUCUUGUAGAGAGAAUAGAGUCACAAACCUGAAAGAUGAAACACAAAAGAGAAGAAAAGAAAGAUAUGUGGUUACUGUCCUUCCCAAAAUAUCUUGAAUCCAACAUUUGUUUGAGCAAAUUCAAGCACCAAUUCACUUAAAGCUGAACGGCAUAAAAAUCACAAAGAAACUAUGCUGUACGACAUGCAAGACAAUUGGCUAACGUUCAAAACUUGCUUGAUAAAAACACAAGGCAGAGUCCCCAAAAGCCCAUUUGAUAGUUUAAAAAAGGCACCUACUUUGUGGAGAGAAGGGGAUUAACUACUCCUGCUCCUUAGUCUAACCACAAAUCUAUUAUUGAGUUAUUCGUGUUCAAAAAAGAAAAAGUGAAACUCAACUGGAGCAGUCUUCAGUACAUUAAAUUGAUAAGUUAGCUGUUCCAACAAUAACUUUGGUGCAUCAGAAAUAACAGAAAUUAGUUUGACCAUUCAAAUUGGAGUCACCAUUGUGUGGUUCAAAGAAGAAGAGGAACCAUUACAUUGAAGGAGGAGAUGCUGGAAACCAUGAAGAAUAUAUCAAUGAGUUCAUUAGAUGGAUGAACUAGAUUUUGGAAUUACUUGCUUUUUGAAGUUCAAAGGCUCCUUUUUGAUUAGUGAACAUAGGAAGACUCGAAAUUCAGUUUUCUAUCACAUUGGAGGUUGGGCAAUAUUUUGAUUUUUCAAUCACACGUCAUGUCAUGUUGCCACUUUAUUAAAAAACAAAGAAGAGGAUUAAUGAAGAUGGCAAAAGUAGGUACUCAUGGAAUUUUCCAUACGCCUCUUCUUUACCGAGGCGACUGGGAGUCUGGGACCAUCCUUUAGUAUUAAUGAAGCCAGUUCUGGCUUCCUCCCCACUGGAUGAACAAGCCUUGAUCAAAUGAAUCAAAGAGUUUAUCAUUCCGAUAGGAAGCAGAAUUACAUGUAAUCAGCAAAGGGAGACACAUUUGAAACCUACCGGACUUAGUAUUCAGGGGGAAAAGAGAGGCAUUACCUUCUUUGGUGCCUCUAGAGUCUAGCAUCAAUAGAGUAAUUUAGAGCAAGGUCACCCACUAGGCAUCUCGCUCGAAAAGAAUUCCCAACUCCAUUUGUCUCUGGGAGGAAUAGAGAACAACCUGACUUCAACUUCCUGCCCACCUAUUCUGCAAAAAAAAUAAGCGGGAGUUAAUUUUGAUGAGACUGAACGGUCGAAGCCUUCAAUGGUAAUCAUUGAUCAAGUCGAUGGCUUAAAGCCAGUUAGACCACAAACGAGUCUUUCUCCCCUCAUUGAUUGGGUCUAUUGAUGUCGCUAUCAUUCAAUUAGUAAUUCAUGCAAUAAUGCAAUUGAAUUAGCAAUUGCUGCACGGCGGAAGCAAAAGCAGAGCUAGCAUAAGAUUUUGAAUUACCAGUCCCAUUGAUCAAUUGAGGUUUUAAUAAUUAGCAAGGGUUUACUUAUCAAAAAAAUACCUGGGGUGGAAUAAUUGAUGGGAGGAACCUUCUUACCUCAUGUGUCUUGCAAUAAAAUACUCUCACUCGAAGGGUGGAUUCAGAUGCUGGAAGAUUUGAGUAAAAGGAGUUCCCAUAUGAAUCCCUUUUUUGGCGGGGACAAAUUCCCACAGUGAUAAGGUCCAUAACAGAACUAAAGGAUUGUGCUGUUUUACUCCUAAACGAUUGGAAAGACAGAUUUGGAUUUCCAUCCAGGUCCUGUCCCACUUGUCUUUUUGUGCAUUGGUAGAGGUAGACCACUAAAGUGGGGAUAGGAAGUCACUCAAAUCGGCAUGUAAGGUUUAUAACAAGCUAGGAGCUAAUCUCUUUCCUUUAGCUUGGCGAGCGUUAGGCUAGAGGAUAUCUUCCCUUUAACUUCCUCUCGAACAAUUUUUUUCCAAAUCUUGCUUCCUUUCUUUAGGGGCCCCCACGUUUCUUAUUUCAGAGGGAUCCAUAGAUCUCCUCAAGUGCUGCUGUGUCAAAUUUAUCAUGAUGUUAGGAUAAUGGCAUCUCUGUGUAUCUGUUAAACACCUCUAGUCUUAACCUGUUGCUUUGUACUCACUGGGCAGUCCCUCAUUCUAUCUUUGAGCAGCUGUAGAUCCAUAGCUUAGGCCUAUUUGUUGAUUCUUUGUAUUGGAGGUAAUGCCCUCCUAGU